rnacentral:rRNA from 1 species
GAUGAACGCUAGCGGCAGGCUUAACACAUGCAAGUCGAGGGGUAAGUCAUUUCGGUGACUGAGACCGGCGCACGGGUGCGUAACGCGUAUGUAAUCUACCUUUUACAGGGGGAUAGCCCAGAGAAAUUUGGAUUAAUACCCCAUAGUAUUAUUGAAUGGCAUCAUUUAAUAAUUAAAGUUCCAACGGUAAAAGAUGGGCAUGCGUCCCAUUAGCUAGAUGGUAAGGUAACGGCUUACCAUGGCGACGAUGGGUAGGGGUACUGAGAGGGAGAUCCCCCACACUGGUACUGAGACACGGACCAGACUCCUACGGGAGGCAGCAGUGAGGAAUACUGGUAAAUGGGCGCAAGCCUGAACCAGCCAUGCCGCGUGCAGGAUGACGGUCCUAUGGAUUGUAAACUGCUUUUGUACGGGAAGAAACACUCCUACGUGUAGGAACUUGACGGUACCGUAAGAAUAAGGAUCGGCUAACUCCGUGCCAGCAGCCGCCGUAAAAC